UACGGAGGAUCCAAGCGUUAUCCGGAAUCAUUGGGUUUAAAGGGUCCGUAGGCGGUUUUGUAAGUCAGUGGUGAAAGCCCAUCGCUCAACGGUGGAACGGCCAUUGAUACUGCAAGACUUGAAUCAUUAGGAAGUAACUAGAAUAUGUAGUGUAGCGGUGAAAUGCUUAGAGAUUACAUGGAAUACCAAUUGCGAAGGCAGGUUACUACUAAUGGAUUGACGCUGAUGGACGAAAGCGUGGGGAGCGAACAGG
rnacentral:rRNA from 1 species